AAUGAACGCUGGCGGCGUGCUUAACACAUGCAAGUCGAACGAGAAAGGCUUAACUUUCGGGUUGGCCGAGUAAAGUGGCGCACGGGUGAGUAACGCGUAGGCAACCCACCCUUGUGUUCGGGAUAACACUUCGAAAGGGGUGCUAAUACCGGAUGUGACAGUUGGACGGAAGUUUUACUGUCAAAGGGAGCCUCUGUACAUACAAGCUUCCGCACGAGGAGGGGCCUGCGUCCUAUCAGCUAGUUGGUAGGGUAACGGCCUACCAAGGCUACGACGGGUAGCUGGUCUGAGAGGAUGAUCAGCCACACUGGCACUGGAACACGGGCCAGACUCCUACGGGAGGCAGCAGUGAGGAAUAUUGGGCAAUGGUCAAAGACUGACCCAGCCAUGCCGCGUGCAGGAUGAAGGCCCUAUGGGUUGUAAACUGCUUUUAGCCGGGAAUAAACACCCGUUUUAUAACGGCCCGAAGGUACCGGCUGAAUAAGCAUCGGCUAACUCCGUGCCCAGCAGCCGCGGUAAGACG
rnacentral:rRNA from 1 species